UUUACUGGGCGUAAGCGUGCGUAGGCGGCUGAUUAAGUCGGAUGUGAAAUCCCUGAGCUUAACUUAGGAAUUGCAUUCGAUACUGGUCAGCUAGAGUAUGGGAGAGGAUGGUAGAAUUCCAGGUGUAGCGGUGAAAUGCGUAGAGAUCUGGAGGAAUACCGAUGGCGAAGGCAGCCAUCUGGCCUAAUACUGACGCUGAGGUACGAAAGCAUGGGGAGCAAACAGGAUUAGAUACCCUGGUAGUCCAUGCCGUAAACGAUGUCUACUAGCCGUUGGGGCCUUUGAGGCUUUAGUGGCGCAGCUAACGCGAUAAGUAGACCGCCUGGGGAGUACGGUCGCAAGACUAAAACUCAAAUGAAUUGACGGGGGCCCGCACAAGCGGUGGAGCAUGUGGUUUAAUUCGAUGCAACGCGAAGAACCUUACCUGGCCUUGACAUACUAGAAACUUUCCAGAGAUGGAUUGGUGCCUUCGGGAAUCUAGAUACAGGUGCUGCAUGGCUGUCGUCAGCUCGUGUCGUGAGAUGUUGGGUUAAGUCCCGCAACGAGCGCAACCCUUUUCCUUAUUUGCCAGCGAGUAAUGUCGGGAACUUUAAGGAUACUGCCAGUGACAAACUGGAGGAAGGCGGGGACGACGUCAAGUCAUCAUGGCCCUUACGGCCAGGGCUACACACGUGCUACAAUGGUCGGUACAAAGGGUUGCUACCUAGCGAUAGGAUGCUAAUCUCAAAAAGCCGAUCGUAGUCCGGAUUGGAGUCUGCAACUCGACUCCAUGAAGUCGGAAUCGCUAGUAAUCGCGGAUCAGAAUGCCGCGGUGAAUACGUUCCCGGGCCUUGUACACACCGCCCGUCACACCAUGGGAGUUUGUUGCACCAGAAGUAGGUAGUCUAACCGCAAGGAGGACGCUUACCACGGUGUGGCCGAUGACUGGGGUGAAGU
rnacentral:rRNA from 1 species